rnacentral:rRNA from 1 species
GGAAGUAAAAGUCGUAACAAGGUUUCCGUAGGUGAACCUGCGGAAGGAUCAUUCAUAAUCAAGUGUUUUUAUGGCACUUUCAAAAAUCCAUAUCCACCUUGUGUGCAAUGUCAUCUCUCUGGGGGCCGCCGGCUGUCAAAAGCCGUGUGGUCACCUUUGGGAUUUAUAUCUACUCAGAACUUUAGUGAUUUUGUCUGAAACAUAUUAUGAAUACUUAAUUCAAAAUACAACUUUCAACAACGGAUCUCUUGGCUCUGGCAUCGAUGAAGAACGCAGCGAAAUGCGAUAAGUAAUGUGAAUUGCAGAAUUCAGUGAAUCAUCGAAUCUUUGAACGCACAUUGCGCCCGCCAGUAUUCUGGCGGGCAUGCCUGUUCGAGCGUCAUUUCAACCCUCAAGCCCCCGGGCUUGGUGUUGGGGAUCGGCACAAAGGCCUCGCCAGAGGACGCGCCGGCCCCUAAAUCUAGUGGCGGUCUCGCUGCAGCCUCCAUUGCGUAGUAGCUAACACCUCGCAACUGGAACGCGGCGCGGCCAAGCCGUUAAACCCCCAACUUUUCUGAAUGUUGACCUCGGAUCAGGUAGGAAUACCCGCUGAACUUAAGCAUAUCAAUAAGCGGAGGA